CCAGAAGUUUCCUUUCUCUAGGAGCUGUGUAUAUAAAAAUCAGUACGUAUUAGGGUUGUGGCUAGCCACUCUUUUUUCUUGUCUGGUUGAUCAAAUUUUAGACGGAAUGGGUAAAUUCAGCAAAAAAUCAGAUUUCUAACUCAUCUGUUGCACCUCACUGGAGCAUAUAAAACAGUAGUUGCCAGUCACCUAUCAUAUUCUGUGAAUAAAUCUGAACUGAUUGAGUUCUUUAAGCAGGCUGGGGAAGUUGUUGAUGCGCGCUAUAGGUUUGAACAUUGCAAGGGAACCUGCUUUGUUGAGUUUGCAACUGAAGAAGCUGUAAACAAGGUAGACUUCUCAGCUUGUGCUCCAUAAUUAGUUAUAGGUGCUUUAUUUUAAAUACUUACAAUUGCGGGCAUUAGAGGUGGAUGGACAAUAUACUUGUGUAAUAGGGAUAUUAAAGUUCGACCUCUAGUGGCAAUCAAUGGAGCAUCAAAAACACUUGUUGCCAAGAACCUAUCGUUUUCCACUACUAAAUCUGAUGUGUGAGUGUAUAUGCCAAUGUUAAACUCUUACUUUCUGACCUUUGCCAUAUUUCAUUGCAUUAACAUUCUUCUGCUGCUGCUGUCGUAGGGUCGAGUUAUUUAAACAGGCUGGGGAAAUUGUUGAUGUGCGUUUCUCGUUAGAUCACAAUGGAAAUUUCAGGGGAAAUUGCCAUAUUGAGUUUGCAACUGCAGAAGCUGCUAUGAAGGUAGAUUUCCUAGUUCGAAAGCUCUGUACUCUAAAUUGUACUCAUGAUUAAUUUACCAUUGCAGGCAGCUGAGUUAAAUGGCGAAUACUUGUUGGGCCGUCAUGUUGUAGUUGGCUUUACUCGUGAAACCAUAUUUAUCCAUAUUUAAUACCUAUUUAAGAUUUGACCAGAUCCAGAGCUCCCUAGUAGAGCUUUUCUCAACUUGUGGAGAGAUCUCAUGGAUGCACAUUCCAACGUCUCGUUAUACUGGUAUUCCUCGAGGGAUUGCUUUCAUGGAGUUUUUUGAUUCCCGAGAUUUUCACAAGCUCUUGCGAUGAAUGGACAUAAACUAGGUGAUUCCACCUUGACAGUUGAAGAUGCUAUGCCAGUUCGACUUGAUGUUCAACCAACGGGUGUUAGCAUGGGACUUCGUGGAAACCGUAUUGGCUCAAUUUAUCCUUUCGGGUGCUACUCAACUGACAGAGGUUGGGGGGUGCUGGCAUAGGAAAAGAUGGAAACAUCUACCAUCUUCCUUCAGGAAAGAAAACUAAAUUUGAUGAUGAUUAUUAACCUGAAGGAAGAACAAGGCGGAAUUUGGGAUGAAUGGCCGGCGAUUGAACAUAAAUGAUAUGUCCAGUACUGUAUGUGCACAAAAAAUUUAUAGGGAAGUUUUAGGGUUCAGUCUUCAGAUUUCAGAAGCUUUUACCAUGUGAACUGUUUUCUCAUCUUGUAGAAAACCUGGUCGGACUAGAUUGCACUCAUAGCCUGUUAUUGUAAACAAGUUUACAUUAAUGGGAAUAAUGAAGCUGAACUAUGUGGACUAGACUGUAUUGCAAACGGUCAAACUUAAUUUUUGGCGAAAUUCAUGUUGACCAAAGUCAAAGUUUUU